CCGUGCCUUCGGCUUCUUUACAGUGCUGCCUUGUGACGUGAAGAUCAAGCAGCAUUGUACAGGGCUAUGAAGGCACAG
rnacentral:pre_miRNA from 13 species